rnacentral:tRNA from 1 species
GAGAUAAACUUACGAACUGCUAAAUCGUAUAUACCGAACCUAAACACUCGGACCUCUC